ensembl:misc_RNA Metazoa_SRP Metazoan signal recognition particle RNA
GCUGGGUGCGGUGGUGCGCACCUGUAAUCCCAGCUACUUGGGAGGCUGAGGCAGAAGAAUCGCUUGAACUCAGGAGGCAGAGGUUGCAGUGAGCUGAGAUCACACCACUGCCUCCAACCUGGGCAAGAGAGUGAGACUCUGUCUCAA